UUAUGGCUCAGGACGAACGCUGGCGGCGUGCUUAACACAUGCAAGUCGAACGGAGAUUCAGCAAUGGAUCUUAGUGGCGAACGGGUGAGUAACGCGUAGGCAAUCUGCCUUCUAGAUGGGGACAACAUCCCGAAAGGGGUGCUAAUACCGAAUGUUGUAACGACUUCGCAUGAAGUUGCUACUAAAGGUGGCCUCUGAAUAUGCUACCGCUAGAAGAUGAGCCUGCGUCUGAUUAGCUAGUUGGAGGGGUAACGGCCCACCAAGGCUUCGAUCAGUAGCCGGUCUGAGAGGAUGAACGGCCACACUGGGACUGAGACACGGCCCAGACUCCUACGGGAGGCAGCAGUGGGGAAUCUUCCGCAAUGGACGAAAGUCUGACGGAGCAACGCCGCGUGAAGCGAAGAAGGUUUUCGGAUCGUAAAGCUCUUUCGUUAGGGACGAACGUGCUCUUUGUGAAUAAUGAGGAGUAAUGACGGUACCUAAAUAAGAAGCCACGGCUAACUACGUGCCAGCCGCCGC
rnacentral:rRNA from 1 species